rnacentral:rRNA from 1 species
UGUCCUACGGGGGGCAGCAGUGAGGAAUAUUGGUCAAUGGUCGGGAGACUGAACCAGCCAAGCCGCGUGAGGGAUGAAGGUACAGAGUAUCGUAAACCUCUUUUGUCAGGGAACAAAGGCGGGGACGCGUCCCCGGAUGAGUGUACCUGAAGAAAAAGCAUCGGCUAACUCCGUGCCAGCAGCCGCGGUAAUACGGAGGAUGCGAGCGUUAUCCGGAUUUAUUGGGUUUAAAGGGUGCGCAAGCGGAAGCGCAAGUCAGCGGUAAAAUUGAGAGGCUCAACCUCUUCCCGCCGUUGAAACUGCGU